GAGCGCGUAGCCAUGCCUGUGCGCCUGGAUCGAGCGAUGCUCUGCGUUGUUGGAGAUCGAUCGGAGAAGAAACGCAGGCGCUGCGCUUGGCUGCUGUGGUGGGUUGGUGGCUGGUGCAGCAUGUUGCUCCUUGUUUUAUACCCGUGGGCGUGCCUUGGUCUCCGACUCGCCGCCAUGAAUCUCUGUGUCGGAAUCCUUGGCUUCUCGGAGUCGGACGGUCGGACUCCACUCCCGCCGGCCGCCGCUAAUGUGCGCCGCUCCUAUGCGUGCAUCGUCUCCGAAUCGGAUUUUGGUGUAAACAUGCCUGUCACCGAUCGUAAACGAGAACCUAUUUUCCUGAGACAGCUGCGACAGAUCUGUUGACAGAUACGCAACAACUUGGACUUGCCAAGGCCGAAGGGUGCUC
rnacentral:lncRNA from 1 species